CGUGUGAGCCGGGAGCCCUUAUCCCCAUUACCAUCCCACUUGACGGUUAUAGCCCCAACUGUUUUUCUUUUUUCAUUUUGAAACUCAAAUAAAUCUUCACCAGCAGACUCCUUCCUCUAUAAAUCCGCAAAACCAAACACCUUCUUCUAUAAUUCCUCACGAUCAAACACCCUGUUCUGUCAUUGUACUCUAUUUUCUGUCUGAUACAUUUGAUAUGGGAGAAGAAAUCGAAAACCUGUGUUUUGACAUGGGUGCACUGAGGACCAAUCUUCCACAGAAGAGAGGGUUGUCGAGGUAUUACUCCGGGAAGGCAAGAUCCUUCACAUCCAUAGCAGACGUUCACUGCCUAGAAGAUCUAAAGAAAAAUGAACAUCCAGCUUCUAAGAAGAGGAAGAAACACUCAGAAAGACAGGAUAUACAUGCUGCCCCAUAUCUAUGUGGAAGAGUGUCUGGUGGCACCCAAUGCACUACACCAUGCUUGGGUGUGAAACUUUGAGCAUUAAUGGAAGGAUGUAAUCCCUAUCAGAAAUCUUUAGCGAGUUUCUUAUCAUUCUACAUAGAUCCAUGUAGAAGAGAAUGAGUAGAGUUUGGAGUUUUGGCUCCAUAUCAAAACAUGGUAGACUGUUUGGUAAUGUAAAUGUCAAUAGGAAUCUGAAAUGAUGAGCAAUUGAACAAUUUAUGAGAUUACCCAAUUCCAUAGCCAGUUCAACUGCUAGAUUUGAAGUGCCAAGAUCUGAGAGCAGGGGAUAAAAGGGGAGUAAAAGCAGCAAUUCAGAACAAAAUUUGAAGCCAGGAAAGCCUAGAGAGUGCCCUUUGGAGGGCUAAUGCACAUGCAUAUGCUGGAGCCUAACAUAAUCGUUCCACACCCCAUGAACCAUCAAAGGGAUUUUCCCAACACUGCAGCACGAUCACAAUAUAAGAGCCCAAAUUCAACAAGCAGAAACACUGGAACAGGCGUGGCUGCAAGAAACUCAAGACUACCUUUCAUCAGAGAGAUACGAACCUAUUUUCCAAAAUAUGGUGUUCUGGGUGGGGACCUGCAACUGAGUAGUCCAAAAAAAAAAAUUGAUUCAAAUUAAGUGAAAUUAUAUCUUGCAGGCUACUUGAUGAUAUGGAACAAUUUAGAUAA